rnacentral:rRNA from 1 species
CCUACGGGAGGCAGCAGUGGGGAAUUUUGGACAAUGGGGGAAACCCUGAUCCAGCCAUGCCGCGUGAGUGAAGAAGGCCUUCGGGUUGUAAAGCUCUUUCAGCCGGAACGAAAAGGUUACGGUUAAUACCCGUGACUAAUGACGGUA